AAGACAUGUUCUGCAGCUGAGAGAAACCAGAAAGCCCCCCACGUCUGUUUAGACCUAAUAUCCCAGAGUUUUAGAGCAGGGUGGCUAUUCUGAGUAGAAAUAAAGUUAAGCAGGGCUCAUUUUUUUAGAGGACCUGGAAAAACAGCAGUUCUUGUAGGUGAAAGGUCAAAUCCGAGGUGUUCCUGUGCGCUAGAUAUCAAAUCUGGAUAUUUAAGUUUCUUUUUUAGAGCAGCUCAUCUAAUCGAGAUGCGGGAUAAACGGUAACAUUGACUCAGUUUUCAGGAAACUAAAACCUCCCAGAGAGAAGACGGCUCGUGUCGUGCACACAACAAGAAUGAGAAAACGUUUGCAGCUAAAGAACAAGAAGCUCAUCUGUGCCCCGGAAGACCUGAGAAAAACAGCCGGCGCCGAGCUGGUCCCCGAUGGUGAACUCGUGUUUUGGGAGAACCCAACCAUCCAGCAAAUGGUUGAUAUCUUCAAUGUUUGGCUUUUUCUGUUCUUCUCUUGCCUGAAAGAACGUAUCCAACGGUGUCUCUCUCGCUCUGUCGGACGAGGAACGCCGCCUCCUGGUUUUCUGGAUC